GGAGAUUUAGCUCAGUGGUAGAGCGCUUGCCUAGCAAGCGCAAGGUCCUGGGUUCGGUCCCCAGCUCCG
rfam:Rattus norvegicus chromosome 18, whole genome shotgun sequence.